AAUAAAGUUUUAAAUUUUUAAAUUUCACAUUUAUAUUUUAAAUUAAAAUAUUAAAUUUUAUAUUUUUAUCAAGCUUUAAAAUUUUGAAUUUAAAUUCAAAAUUUAAAUUAUUUUAAAAUAAAAUUUACCAAAAUAAUUAUUAUUUUAUAAUGGGUAAAAAAAUUGCCAAAUAUGACUACGAACAAUUUAGAAUAGAUUAUACUUUAUUGUCAGAAUUACUAAAUUUUGUAAAAUUAACUAAACAUAGUAAUUUCAUACAUACUGUAAUCCAGCAUUAUAUUAUCAUAUUAAAUCAAAUGCGGAAAUAUAGAUAGUAAUCUGAUUUAGAGAUCUUAGAUAUCUGGUUAUAUCGAAAUAAACUAUAAUGCUAGAGUAUUUGAUUCCGAGCAAUUCUCCUAUACACCACUUUAAUCCAGUCCAUU
rnacentral:lncRNA from 1 species